rnacentral:rRNA from 1 species
AACGAACGCUGGCGGCAGGCUUAACACAUGCAAGUCGAGCGGAUCUUUAGGAGCUUGCUCCUGAAGAUUAGCGGCGGACGGGUGAGUAACACGUGGGCAACCUGCCUGUAAGACUGGGAUAACACCGGGAAACCGGUGCUAAUACCGGAUAAUUCUUUCCUUCACAUGAGGGAAAGCUGAAAGUCGGUUUCGGCCGACACUUACAGAUGGGCCCGCGGCGCAUUAGCUAGUUGGUGAGGUAACGGCUCACCAAGGCGACGAUGCGUAGCCGACCUGAGAGGGUGAUCGGCCACACUGGGACUGAGACACGGCCCAGACUCCUACGGGAGGCAGCAGUAGGGAAUCUUCCGCAAUGGACGAAAGUCUGACGGAGCAACGCCGCGUGAGUGAUGAAGGCCUUCGGGUCGUAAAACUCCGUUGUUAGGGAAGAACAAGUAUCGGAGUAACUGCCGGUACCUUGACGGUACCUAACCAGAAAGCCACGGCUAACUACGUGCCAGCAGCCGCCGUAAGAC